GACGAACGCUGGCGGCGUGCCUAAUACAUGCAAGUCGAGCGCAGGAAACUGACGGAACUCUUCGGAGGGAAGGCAGCGGAAUGAGCGGCGGACGGGUGAGUAACAUGUAAGGAACCUGCCUCAAGGAUUGGGAUAACUCCGAGAAAUCGGAGCUAAUACCGGAUAGUUCACCGGACCGCAUGGUCCGUUGAUGAAAGGCGCUUCGGCGUCACCUUGAGAUGGCCUUGCGGUGCAUUAGCUAGUUGGUGGGGUAACGGCCCACCAAGGCGACGAUGCAUAGACGACCUGAGAGGGUGAUCGGCCACACUGGGACUGAGACACGGCCCAGACUCCUACGGGAGGCAGCAGUAGGGAAUCUUCCACAAUGGACGAAAGUCUGAUGGAGCAACGCCGCGUGAGUGAUGAAGGUUUUCGGAUCGUAAAACUCUGUUGUAAGGGAAGAACACGUACGAGAGGGAAUGCUCGUACCUUGACGGUACCUUACGAGAAAGCCACGGCUAACUACGUGCCAGCCGCCGCCGUAA
rnacentral:rRNA from 1 species